rnacentral:rRNA from 1 species
CAGCCGCCGCGGUAAUACGUAGGUGGCAAGCGUUGUCCGGAAUUAUUGGGCGUAAAGGGCUCGCAGGCGGUUUCUUAAGUCUGAUGUGAAAGUCCCCGGCUCAACCGGGGAGGGUCAUUGCAAGCUGGGAAACUUGAGUGCAGAAGAGGAGAGUGGAAUUCCACGUGUAGCGGUGAAAUGCGUAGAGAUGUGGAGGAACGCCAGUGGCGAAGGCGACUCUCUGGUCUGUAACUGACGCUGAGGAGCGAAAGCGUGGGGAGCGAACAGGAUUAGAUACCCCCGUAGUCCCUGUCUCUUAUAC